GAACAUGAUUAAUAUGGCAUCUUCUAUAAUUCAAAGCGGAAUUCGGUUUAUGAACGAGAAACCGUAAAGCGUUUUCAAUUUCGGUAUUAGUUAUGUAUGUUGUCUACGUAUUAUCCUGGUUCCCGGUACUACGUUCCGGUAUUAGCUAUUUGAUAUAUGUGAUGUGUAACAUUACGAUCGGGUACCAGCCAAUCUACGUGUGUAUGUGUACAUGAUUUCCCGCCAAAAUGACCGACUUACAGCUAUAGUGUAUGAAAAAUAGUCCAUAAACGUUCCGUAUAAUGAUAUGCAAAUUCAUAAUUAAUCGUAACUUUUUUAUCUUGUGUAUAAUAAAUAUAACAAAAUGGAUUCCACAAAAUUGAAAAUAGCAUUAUUUUACGAGGAUUUCUCAUAUUUUUCUCACUUCCGGGCGCAGUAAUACGUAUGUUUUGAAGAAGUUCGAAGAAUUUGACAAAGUGAAUUGAGAAGGAAACGGAUAGAUAUACGUCCUUGCUAUCAGGUAAAACAAUUUAAAUGAACAGAACAAACACAUUUACUUCACACAAAUAGUACAGGCUUAAGCUUUUUAUUGUCUUAUACACGACUGUAGUCUAGUGUUUAAACGACGGCGGUGACCUACAAGGUACGGGUCAUACUGGGUCAAGUCUAAAUAUGAAAUAUGUAAACAUAUCCACGUGCUAUUAGGUAGAAAGCAUCGUAAUGCAAUAUCUACAAUUUUUCCUCCUUUAUACAUCGUUUAACCAGAUAUAUUUCUCUUUCAAAUACACUUAUAAAACACGGG
rnacentral:lncRNA from 1 species